UUUAAGUCUUCCUUCGCUUCAUCAUCUUCAUAAAAGAGUGCCUUCGUGCCAAGAACAGACGUGCAACUGUUAACGAUGCUGGCUGCUGCGAUUUCAAUGUCUUAUCUUCCCUGUUGUCGGGACGAGACACAGAGUGCCACUACGACGCUCUGCCACUGCGAGCUAGAAUGCUGUAGUUCCACCAGUCUACCGAACUCCCCCCCAGAUUUCGCUCACAAUUCUGACAAUGAUAUAGAAGUGAUGAGCUUGGUGGGUAUCCUUGUGCCUAUUUAAGGUUAAGUGUGUGAGUGAAUGUUAAUUUUCUGUUGCUCUUUUAACUUUUUUUUGCAGAGGUUGCUGAAGAGGUAUGCAGCGAUGGUCUGGAGGGAAAAAAUAGUCACAUGGACUGGUGUGCAUUCCAGUACUUGAAAUGAUGCUGUUGCUCAGGCACAUCCAGGUGCGAGGAUGGGGGAGGUCCGGAUGUCGCUAAAUAAAAGAAUCUGUGAACUGCUUCACCAAUAGAAAAAGAAGUCCAUGGACAGGCCUAUGAGCCCUCUUGUUGACCUUGAGUGACUGAGGCUGCGGGCGGUCUGCCCCUGAAUUCACCUUCACUUUCAUUUCUUUUUAAAAAAAAUAUAUAUCUGAAGGUGUGUGUGUGUGUGCGCGCGCGCGGGGGUGUGUGUGUGUGGGCGCUGGCACGCGUAUGUGUUUGUGUGUGUGCGCGCGUGUGCACGCGUGCAUGUGUGCCAGUGCUUUAUGCGAGGUGUUUCGCUUACCGGCCACAGCCACAGUUUUUGUUUUGUUUUCUUUUUGUUUUAUUUGGGUUUUUUUGUUUUUUUUUUUGGUUUUUUUUUUUUUUUAGAAUAUUUCUGCUUUUUCAUUGAGUACAAGUUACUGGCCAAAGUGGGAGACUGAAAUUGUUACUGGCCACAGGCAAGUUUCACCAGCAUUUGGCCUGUUGGCCGGUGUCGUUGUCAAGUCGUUUCCCUGCCUGUCUGCCCCUCUGUCUCUGCAUGUGUGAGCGGUGGUGUUAAAGGGUCGGUUGGUUUCAUGUUUUUAAUAAACCAAUGUCAACAGUUGAAUGAAUUGAA